GACGAACGCUGGCGGCGUGCCUAAUACAUGCAAGUCGAGCGGACAGAUGGGAGCUUGCUCCCGGAAGUCAGCGGCGGACGGGUGAGUAACACGUGGGCAACCUGCCUGUAAGACUGGGAUAACUUCGGGAAACCGGAGCUAAUACCGGAUACGUUCUUUUCUCGCAUGAGAGAAGAUGGAAAGAUGGUUUCGGCUAUCACUUACAGAUGGGCCCGCGGCGCAUUAGCUAGUUGGUGAGGUAAUGGCUCACCAAGGCAACGAUGCGUAGCCGACCUGAGAGGGUGAUCGGCCACACUGGGACUGAGACACGGCCCAGACUCCUACGGGAGGCAGCAGUAGGGAAUCUUCCGCAAUGGACGAAAGUCUGACGGAGCAACGCCGCGUGAACGAUGAAGGCCUUCGGGUCGUAAAGUUCUGUUGUUAGGGAAGAACAAGUACCAGAGUAACUGCUGGUACCUUGACGGUACCUAACCAGAAAGCCACGGCUAACUACGUGCCAGCCGCCGCGGUAA
rnacentral:rRNA from 1 species